rnacentral:rRNA from 1 species
GUACGGGUUGUGAGAGCAAGAGCCCGGAGAUGGAUUCUGAGACACGAAUCCAGGCCCUACGGGGUGCAGCAGGCGCGAAAACUUUACAAUGCUGGCAACAGCGAUAAGGGAACCUCGAGUGCCAGGUUACAAAUCUGGCUGUCGAGAUGCCUAAAAAGCAUUUCAUAGCAAGGGCCGGGCAAGACCGGUGCCAGCCGCCGCGGUAACACCGGCGGCUCGAGUGGUAACCGUUAUUAUUGGGUCUAAAGGGUCUGUAGCCGGCCGGAUAAGUCUCUUGAGAAAUCUGGCAGCUUAACUGUCAGGCUUUCAGGAGAUACUGUCUGGCUCGAGGCCGGGAGAGGUGAGAGGUACUUCAGGGGUAGGGGUGAAAUCUUGUAAUCCUUGAAGGACCACCAGUGGCGAAGGCGUCUCACCAGAACGGACCUGACGGCAAGGGACGAAAGCUAGGGGCACGAACCGGAUUAGAUACCCGGGUAGUCCUAGCCGUAAACGAUACUCGCUAGGUGUCGGCCACGGUGCGACCGUUGUCGGUGCCGUAGGGAAGCCGUGAAGCGAG